GGGGCCGUAGCUCAGUUGGGAGAGUGCCUGAAUGGCAUUCAGGAGGUCGCCGGUUCGAUCCCGGCCGGCUCCACCA
rnacentral:tRNA from 3 species